CGGGGGAGCAAGCGUUGUUCGGAUUUACUGGGCGUAAAGGGCGCGUAGGCGGCCACCGCAAGUCAGUUGUGAAAUCUCUGGGCUUAACCCAGAAAGGUCAACUGAUACUGCGGGGCUAGAGUGCAGAAGGGGCAACUGGAAUUCUCGGUGUAGCGGUGAAAUGCGUAGAUAUCGAGAGGAACACCUGCGGCGAAGGCGGGUUGCUGGGCUGACACUGACGCUGAGGCGCGAAAGCUAGGGGAGCGAACGGGAUUAGAUACCCCGGUAGUCCUAGCCUUAAACGAUGAAUGCUUGGUGUCUGGGGUUUUAUAGUCCCCGGGUGCCGUCGCUAACGCUUUAAGCAUUCCGCCUGGGGAGUACGGUCGCAAGACUG
rnacentral:rRNA from 1 species